UUGACCUCGGAUCAGGUAGGGAUACCCGCUGAACUUAAGCAUAUCAAUAAGCGGAGGAAAAGAAACCAACAGGGAUUGCCCCAGUAACGGCGAGUGAAGCGGCAAGAGCUCAAAUUUGAAAUCUGGCCUCCCCCGGGGGCCCGAGUUGUAAUUUGCAGAGGAUGCUUCGGGUGCGGCCGCCGUCUAAGUUCCUUGGAACAGGACGUCAGAGAGGGUGAGAAUCCCGUCUUGGGCGGGCGGUCCGCGCCCGUGUGAAGCUCCUUCGACGAGUCGAGUUGUUUGGGAAUGCAGCUCUAAGCGGGUGGUAAAUUUCAUCUAAAGCUAAAUAUUGGCCGGAGACCGAUAGCGCACAAGUAGAGUGAUCGAAAGGUUAAAAGCACCUUGAAAAGGGAGUUAAACAGCACGUGAAAUUGUUGAAAGGGAAGCGCUUGCGGCCAGACUCGGGGGCGGGGUUCAGCGGGUGCUCGUCGCCCGUGUAUUCCUCGUCUCCCGGGCCAGCAUCAGUUUCGACGGCCGGUCAAAGGCCCCCGGAAUGUGUCGUCUCUCGGGACGUCUUAUAGCCGGGGGUGCAAUGCGGCCCGUCGGGACUGAGGAACGCGCUCCGGCUCGGAUGCUGGCGUAAUGGCCGUAAGCGGC
rnacentral:rRNA from 1 species